rnacentral:rRNA from 1 species
UACGUAGGGUGCAAGCGUUAAUCGGAAUUACUGGGCGUAAAGCGUGCGUAGACGGUUAUUUAAGUCGGGUGUGAAAUCCCCGGGCUCAACCUGGGAAUUGCAUUCGAGACUGAAUAGCUAGGGUACGGUAGAGGUAAGCGGAAUUCCUGGUGUAGCGGUGAAAUGCGUAGAUAUCAGGAGGAACACCUGUGGUGUAGACAGCUUACUGGACCACUUCUGACGCUGAGACACGAAAGCGUGGGUAGCAAACAGG